rnacentral:lncRNA from 1 species
UUCGUCUUAGAAACAACCAUUACAUAUAUUUGAUAAAAUUCUAAAGAAAAUUUAAUUUAAUUUCUGUACAAUCAAGCCUGCAUACAAUUAAAAUGAAAUUAAUUUCUUAAGCAUCAUGUUUCUGGAUAAAGAUAUUAUUAACUUGUUGACUACUUGUUCUACACUUCUACCUACGGUCCUCGCUACUCUGUUGUGGAGAUGACAUUUUAAGCUCAGAAGCAAAUCCAAAUGUUGGUUGAAAAUGGCGUCAAGGUAUCAUGGUAAAGCUGAAGACAAGCACCAAUUCAUAAACAGUCUGCAAUAUUGAUGAUACACAACGAUAACAGUAGCACAAGCCCAUGAGAUGAAUACACAGAUAAGACCCAUGGAGCAGCUCGGAAAAAAAAUGGAGACCAUCAAGAUUGCUGAAAGUGAUGUCCUGAUGCAACAGCAAUAAUGCCAAAGCGUUUGGUGAUACUUUCUUUUUGACAUAAAGACUUAAUGUCAGCUGCAAAGGCGAAGCAGUAGAUUGCUUGGAACACAAGAAAACUCCACAUAUUUAUUGUAUGUGUUUUGAAUAUUGGGCUCAGUUGUGCCCUGAAUAUUGG